rnacentral:pre_miRNA from 1 species
AAUAAACCAAUUUUUCACUUUUUAUCUAUAAUUUUUGACUAUUCGUCUUAUUUAAAAAAAUUUUGGGAUUAAUAUUUUUGUUUUUAUUAGAUGAUAAAUUAUGAAUAGUACUUUACAUGUGACUAAUUUUUUUCUAAUUUUUUAAAAUAUUUUUAAAUAAGACGGAUGGUUAAACGUUGGACACGGAAACGGAG